CCAAAUCUUAUUAUGCAAUGCUUUCACAUUUCGGAGUUCACAAUUUCGCAUUGCAAUCAAUCAUUAAACUGAAUAAUUUCAGGAAAUGAAGGAAGGGAGUCGAGACACUAAAUCAGAAGGCAAUCUCUCUCCUGGAAGCAUAACUAGGUAACCAGUGCCCUGCUUUCUUCGCAGCAUUAGGAACCCUAUUUCAGCAAGAACAUGAAAAUUUGAAGAAUCAUAAACAAAACCCUUGACAGAUAGAGGUAAAACUUCUUGAUCAAUCAACAUUUCCCCCUUUUUCUUUUAGCAAAACAAGUUCCUCUAUGCUAGAUAAUAAGGUUCUCAUAGACCCAAUGCAGGCCGGAAUGAUGAAUUCUUUUAACAAUUUAUGGUAAUUCCCAAAGGCAAACAUCAGCAAGAAAAGCAAUGGUGGGAAAAUUCUGGGGUAGACUUGGUACAAGCUGC
rnacentral:lncRNA from 1 species